rnacentral:rRNA from 1 species
UACGGAGGGUGCAAGCGUUGUUCGGAAUCAUUGGGCGUAAAGCGCGUGUAGGUGGCUUGGCAAGUCGGCUGUGAAAUCCCGGGGCCCAACCCCGGAACUGCAUUCGAAACUGCCUCGCUAGAGUCCCGGAGAGGAAGGCGGAAUUCCCGGUGUAGAGGUGAAAUUCGUAGAUAUCGGGAGGAACACCAGCGGCGAAGGCGGCGCUCUGGGCUGGAACUGACGCUGAGGAGCGAAAGCGUGGGGAGCGAACAGG